CUUAACACAUGCAAGUCGAACGAUGAAGCCCUUCGGGGUGGAUUAGUGGCGAACGGGUGAGUAACACGUGGGCAAUCUGCCCUUCACUCUGGGACAAGCCCUGGAAACGGGGUCUAAUACCGGAUAAUACUUUCCUCCUCCUGGAGGAAGUUGAAAGCUCCGGCGGUGAAGGAUGAGCCCGCGGCCUAUCAGCUAGUUGGUGGGGUAAUGGCCUACCAAGGCGACGACGGGUAGCCGGCCUGAGAGGGCGACCGGCCACACUGGGACUGAGACACGGCCCAGACUCCUACGGGAGGCAGCAGUUAUUGCACAAUGGGCGAAAGCCUGAUGCAGCGACGCCGCGUGAGGGAUGACGGCCUUCGGGUUGUAAACCUCUUUCAGCAGGGAAGAAGCGAAAGUGACGGUACCUGCAGAAGAAGCGCCGGCUNACUACGUGCCAGCAGCCGCGGUAAUACGUAGGGCGCAAGNGUUGUCCGGAAUUUUUGGGCGUAAAGAGGCUCUUAGGCGGGCUUUGUCACGUCGGKUUUUGAAAAGCCCGGGGGCUUAACCCCGGGUUCUGCACUGCAGUCGAUACGGGCAGGCUAGAGUGUGGUAGGGGAGAUCGGAAUUCCUGGUGUAGCGGUGAAAUGCGCAGAUAUCAGGAGGAACACCGGUGGCGAAGGCGGAUCUCUGGGCCAUUACUGACGCUGAGGAGCGAAAGCGUGGGGAGCGAACAGGAUUAGAUACCCUGGUAGUCCACGCCGUAAACGUUGG
rnacentral:rRNA from 1 species